GGUCAAUUUAAAUUAAUUGAGAUUAGAUUUAUUUUAAUAUUAAUUAUAAUUUUAAACAAAAAAGCCUGAUUUUGUUUAUCUCAUUAAACUCAACAUAGAUGUUUUUAUUCACCUCUUUAAAUGGAAAGAAGUCUGAACUUUGUCUCAUAAAUGGGUCAACCUGAACUCCAACAUAAAACCACGCAACAUAUAUGUUUUAUGGGCAUUAUUUUGUUUCUUAUAUUUUACACGUUAUGACCCAUUAAGUUUUCAAAAAUUAUAUUUGUUGUUACAGAAAUGACCCAUUAGUUAAAAAUGUAUUAGAUUGAUCGAAAGGUAAAUUAAGCCCACACCUUUUUUUUCCGGGAAGGAAACCACUUUUAACGUUUUCUUGAAAAAUCAACAACUUUUUUUUCUUUGCUUCUCCGUCGGUGGUUCUCAGUUCGACAAAAUAAUCUCCUCUAUAAUCAUCAACAGAAAUUCUUUAAAAGUAUAUCAAAUCCAGAAUAAACACCGUUCAGUCAAUCACCAAACUCAAUCGAUAACUGAGUUCUCGGUAAUUGGCAAGGAUUGUUUAAACGAUGGAUCUUUAAAAAGACAAAAGCAGAGUAGAAGACAAACUUGACAGAGAUUUAAAAAAGUUAAGUCUGACCUGAGAUAUAAUCAUAUUACAUAUGUUCACAUCAACACAGAUUUAUUUAUUCUCUUGUUGAUCUUUUGCUAUGUUUUCGUUUCUAUUAUUUCCUUGUUCUUAUUUUUUUUUUGUCAUUUCAUCUCAUAUAUUGAUAGGUUAUUGAUAAAGGCUGUAUGCCAUAGAAACUGGGAAAUACAGCAUUGGAACAAUUCACAAAACAAACUACACAAACAAAGAUUGGGAACGCAGCCGAUGACCAUCAUCUUCAAAGCGAGGUUGAUGCUUUCUUUUCAUCCUGUUCAUAGAAGGGCUAUGUUAGCAGAAACUCUUCGUAUUAAAGACAGCAUAUGGAAAAUACACGGUUUGUUCUCAGUUACAUGCACUGGAACUGAGGAAUAGUAUAAUCACCUUUAAAACAAAGUUGCUAGGAUGCAAAUAUGGAUUUAUCAAACAAUCUACAUUAGCUGAUUUACUAAAGGGAGUUCAACAACAGCUUAUUAAAAAAAUUAUCCUCAUCUUUGAGGGUGAAAUUGGUGACGUUGGAGUUGCUGAGGAUCGACAUUUUGUACUUAUGACUCGUCGGUCGGUACUUUCCGGCAGCUGCGGUUAGUGAGAAAUUCUCAAUGAACCUCCAUUGUCCAAGCUGAAGUUUCUUAACACGAGCAAAGAAGACUCUCUUGCAGGACUUUAACUUCGACCUUCCAAGAUGUUUUGUAUGGUUUGACAUCAUUGAGCAAAGUGAUAGUCGGGUCUGAGGUAAUCAUAGCCAUAUGAGUGUAUGUUUUUUUUUUGCGGAUGUAGGAGGUAUUAGUUGAUCGUCCUAGUAUUUAUAGUGAUGUGCUAAACCUUUAGGUUUAAUGAUAGCGUGCUGAAGAUUUGAUUCGAUUUCCAUAUAGUUAAAUUCGAUAGGAUAUUCUGAUUACCAUAUUCUGUUGGAGUUGUUAUAUGAAUUUAAUAUCUAAAUGAUUAUGAACGUAGAUGGAUAGUCGAGUAAAAACGUAGUAGAAAAAUAAGGGAGGAAAUCUUAUUAGGCAAAAAGAAAUAUCUAUUUUCAAUUUCGCAAAAAAUAGCGUUAAAGAUAUACUAUAUUAAGUUGUUAUUGAUUAUUGAUAACUUGGUGUGCACGUCAAGACAGUUUAGAUUUGAUGAAAAUAGUAUAUUUAAAAUAAAAUAAAAUACAUGUAAUUUUGAACUUUUUAUGUAUUUCGAAAAACCAACUUUGCGAAACUUAUAUUUUUAAGUUUGGCACACAUGAAAUUAUGUGAUUGAAGUUUAUAUAUGAUUGAAGUUUAUUUAACACAUAUUGUGUUCAUAAUGGCAGCUAUCUCUAAGUGUAAUUCGUUUGUUAUACUUAUAAUAGAGUACAUAGUUGGUUUAGUCUAAUUGUAUAUAACACUUGUUCACGAUUUAAAUUAAAUCCUAUGGUUAUAUUGGUUUACAUUUAAUAGAGUAGAUGGUGGGUUCACGAUUUAAAAUAAAUCGUAUGUUAUAUUGGUUUACAUUUAAUAGAGUAGAUGCUGGGUUAAUAGAUGUCGUCGGUUUAAUAGGAGAUAAAAGCGUGUGAUAUAUCUAAUAAUAAUAAUGUAAUUAACUUGUUAUGGUCCAUAAAUUAAGUAGCUUCCUAGCAAACUUCAAACAGGUCAAAACUUAAAUGAGAAUUUUUAUGGUAGAUAAAUUUAGGACUCUAUUUUAAUAGAGUAGAUAUAGUUUUUUUUUCUUGUUAAUCUCACAUCUUUAUCUUAAUUAUAAACAAUAUUCAAAAGGCAAUUGUUCUCUCUCUCUCUUCUCUCUAGAUCAACUUUACGAUCAACUUUUCGAUCUCCACCCCUCCGGCCGGAGGUGGUGAAGGCGCUCUGCUUUUCUUUAAUUUUUAUUUCUUUUUCCGGUUUCACUCCUCGCGAUUAUGUUUUUAAAUCGGAGCCGAUCUGGUGGCGAUCCUUGCUCCUCAUAUGCUGCAUGUUUUGGUUGGUGGUUUCUCGGAGGCGGUGGCUCUUCUGCAGUCCCAAAACUAUGGGAACGGAUCCGGGUCUUCGUCUCCUCGGUGUUUACUUCAGCCCUCUGUGGUGUCUUUUCUUCUUGUCAUCGGUUGAAGUAGGGUGGAGUGUUCGUCGGCGUUGUUGUCGAUUGAAGAUGGUGGCGGUGAUGCUUGAGGUGGAGUUUGUUUGACUCACCGGCCCUGAAUUGCAUUUCUCCUCCUCAUAACUUUGUCAGUGGUCUUUUAACGCUCUUCGGUGAUUUGUCUCCAGUGAAGAUCAAUGUGGUGGUUUCUUCCCAGUCCAAUUUCUCUGGCGCCAUUCGUGGCAUCUACAGUUUUGGUGAGGCGAUGUUAGAGUUUCAUGUCUAAAGAUAGACAGCUUGUAGGAUUUUUCAGCUCUACUUUGUAAAGCAAUCAGACCCAUUUUUUGGGUUUUUUGGUAUGCUUAUUUUUACUUCCUUUAAAUUUUGAAUCUGUUUCUUUUGUAGUCUUCAAAAAAUUCUCAAAUAUUUUAA